CACGUAGGGCGCGAGCGUUGUCCGGAAUUAUUGGGCGUAAAGAGCUCGUAGGCGGCCUGUUGCGUCCGCUGUGAAAGCCCGGGGCUUACCCCGGGUCGGCAGUGGAUACGGGCAGGCUAGAGGUAGGUAGGGGAGAAUGGAAUUCCCGGUGUAGCGGUGAAAUGCGCAGAUAUCGGGAGGAACACCGGUGGCCGAAGGCGGCUUCCUGGACAAUUGCUGACGCUCAGGCACGAAAGCGUGGGGAGCAAAAGGG
rnacentral:rRNA from 1 species